CUUGCUACCUGACCUAGCGGCGGACGGGUGAGUAAUGCUUAGGAAUCUGCCUAUUAGUGGGGGACAACAUUCCGAAAGGAAUGCUAAUACCGCAUACGCCCUACGGGGGAAAGCAGGGGAUCUUCGGACCUUGCGCUAAUAGAUGAGCCUAAGUCAGAUUAGCUAGUUGGUGGGGUAAAGGCCUACCAAGGCGACGAUCUGUAGCGGGUCUGAGAGGAUGAUCCGCCACACUGGGACUGAGGCACGGCCCAGACUCCUACGGGAGGCAGCAGUGGGGAAUAUUGGACAAUGGGCGAAAGCCUGAUCCAGCCAUGCCGCGUGUGUGAAGAAGGCCUUUUGGUUGUAAAGCACUUUAAGCGAGGAGGAGGCUACUUGGAUUAAUACUCUAGGAUAGUGGACGUUACUCGCAGAAUAAGCACCGGCUAACUCUGUGCCAGCAGCCGCGGUAAUACAGAGGGUGCGAGCGUUAAUCGGAUUUACUGGGCGUAAAGCGUGCGUAGGCGGCUUCUUAAGUCGGAUGUGAAAUCCCUGAGCUUAACUUAGGAAUUGCAUUCGAUACUGGGAAGCUAGAGUAUGGGAGAGGAUGGUAGAAUUCCAGGUGUAGCGGUGAAAUGCGUAGAGAUCUGGAGGAAUACCGAUGGCGAAGGCAGCCAUCUGGCCUAAUACUGACGCUGAGGUACGAAAGCAUGGGGAGCAAACAGGAUUAGAUACCCUGGUAGUCCAUGCCGUAAACGAUGUCUACUAGCCGUUGGGGCCUUUGAGGCUUUAGUGGCGCAGCUAACGCGAUAAGUAGACCGCCUGGGGAGUACGGUCGCAAGACUAAAACUCAAAUGAAUUGACGGGGGCCCGCACAAGCGGUGGAGCAUGUGGUUUAAUUCGAUGCAACGCGAAGAACCUUACCUGGUCUUGACAUAGUAAGAACUUUCCAGAGAUGGAUUGGUGCCUUCGGGUACUUACAUACAGGUGCUGCAUGGCUGUCGUCAGCUCGUGUCGUGAGAUGUUGGGUUAAGUCCCGCAACGAGCGCAACCCUUUUCCUUAUUUGCCAGCGAGUAAUGUCGGGAACUUUAAGGAUACUGCCAGUGACAAACUGGAGGAAGGCGGGGACGACGUCAAGUCAUCAUGGCCCUUACGACCAGGGCUACACACGUGCUACAAUGGUCGGUACAAAGGGUUGCUACCUAGCGAUAGGAUGCUAAUCUCAAAAAGCCGAUCGUAGUCCGGAUUGGAGUCUGCAACUCGACUCCAUGAAGUCG
rnacentral:rRNA from 1 species